GACAGAGGGUGCAAACGUUGUUCGGAAUUACUGGGCGUAAAGCGUGUGUAGGCGGUUCGGUAAGUCGGGUGUGAAAGCCCCGGGCUCAACCCGGGAAGUGCACUCGAUACUGCCAAGCUAGAGUAUCGGAGAGGUUGGUGGAAUUCUCGGUGUAGAGGUGAAAUUCGUAGAUAUCGAGAGGAACACCGGUGGCGAAGGCGGCCAACUGGACGAAUACUGACGCUGAGACACGAAAGCGUGGGGAGCAAACAGG
rnacentral:rRNA from 1 species